rnacentral:rRNA from 1 species
CCUACGGGAGGCAGCAGUGAGGAAUAUUGGUCAAUGGGCGGGAGCCUGAACCAGCCAAGUCGCGUGAGGGAAGAAGGUACUGAGUAUUGUAAACCUCUUUUGCCAGAGGACAAAGCCGGCUACGGGUGGCCGUAAGAGGGUACCUGGAGAAUAAGCAUCGGCAAACUCCGUGCCAGCAGCCGCGGUAAUACGGAGGAUGCAAGCGUUAUCCGGAUUUAUUGGGGUUAAGGGGUGCGCAGGCGGCUUGUAAGGUCAGCGGUAAAAUGUCGGGGCUCAACCCCGGGCGGCCGUUGAUACUGGCGUGCUAGAGUGGGAGAGAGGUAUGCGGAAUUCAUGGUGUAGCGGUGAAAUGCAUAGAGAUCACGAAGAACCCCGAUUGCGAAGGCAGCCUACCGGCUUCACACUGACGCUGAGGCACGAAAGCGUGGGUAUCGAACAGGAUUAGAUACCCUUGUAGUC